AUAUAGGAUGUCGGAGCUGGGAGGGGCCUUAAAACAGACAAUGUUGGAACUGAGAAGGGCUUUGUCUAGUCCAACCCUUCUAUUUUCUCCAUGAGGAAACUGAGGCUGUAAGAAGUUGAGAACCUUGCCCAAGAUCCUCCAGCUAAAAAGUGGCAGCAUCUGGACUGACCUCCUAUGCUUUCGUCACUACAUCCUGACCUGCCUCCUGAGCUAAGCCAUCCAAUUCUUCCAAGACCCAGCUUUAACAGAGAUAUUGGCUUGAACUCCCUCCCUCACCUCUGCUGGGCUGACAAAAGUACAGUUGUCUUCAGCACUACCCACACCUCUAAGUCAUCUCUCUUGGCCUUCUGGGGCCAGGCCUGCUGGACAUCUGAUAAUGACUGUCCUGACUCACUGGAUGCCAAAGAAAGAGAUGCCUCAGGACACAGAUGCCUUGUUGCACUUGGAGAUUGAGGUCACAUCCAUCCCAGUGGCUGUUGGUCCAGAGACACACAGAAAUUGCUUCCAUAUGCUCAGAGGGGCGGAUGAUUUAGAGCAGGUAAGGACCUUAAACAUGAUCGAGUCCAACCCUUCUCUUUUCCGCCAGUGGAGGAUUUGAGGCCUACAAGGUCGCAUAGCUGACAAGUAGCAGGCAUGGUCGCUAGUCCCAACUCUGCUGAUGCCAAAUCCACAUCACAAAAAUCUCUCUUCUGAUUUCCUUUCCCCAUUCAUUCUCUUCUCACAGACUUGAAGAACUGGCAUUUUGGCUCCAUAUCUCCCCAGAAAGACAGAACUUACCUUAUUCAACUUCUGGGACAAGGGAGGCCACCUUUUUUCAUGAGCCAAAAUCAGAUUCCAGGAUCAGAGAAAGAACUCUAAGCCUUAUGGAUGUUGGGUCAAUGAGUCAUCUUUGUCUUUGAAGAUGAGCACCAUGAUGUUCACUUUCCUUGCUCCAAAAAGCUUAAAGUAGUCCAGGAACUGAUGAUGGGGGAUUACAAUUAGGGUUAAGGUCUCAUGACCUAAAAAAUCCAGUUUAUGUCCAAGAUCCCUGGAUGCUUAAUAACUGAGUUGCUCAUGGAAGGAAAUUUGACAUUUGGUGCUCAUGAGCUCCCUUACCUACCAUUACUUUAGGAAUUUAGGGAGGAAAGCUGUUUAUGAAAAGCCAUGCCAGUUUCCGAGAGUCUUUCCCCCUUUCUCCAGAGCCAUAACUAGGAAUUUUUGCUUUUGGGAUAGGAAGAUGGUUGCUUAGUUAGGGCAAAGCCACUGGGUAGGAGGCAGGGAAGAAAUAUGUUCUUGGACAGUGUUUUCAGCAUCUUCUUAAAUGUUGGCCCUUUGAGACGAAGUUCCAGGCACCGUAUCUCACACUAUAGAGUCAUAAAUUUAGAGGUGGAAGGGACCUCAGAGGUCAUUUAGUCCAUCCCACUCAUUUUACAAAGGAAAAAACUGAUAUCCAGAGAAGGUAAGUGAUUUUCCCAGGGUCACACAGUCAACUAUCCUAGUUAUGGCUCUGCCUUUCUCAUUAUGCCACAGAUAUGAAAUUAUGCAAGUGUGUACCAAUCCUCCAUUUGCAAGAACAUUACUUGACUCCCUAAGAGAGCUAACUCAAUUUUUGUUCAAGUGGUAAUGCAUAUGGAAAGAAUAGGUUAUUGGCUUUAUAACUGGAAAGGACCUGGAGAUCAUUUAGUCUAAUCCUGUCUUACAAAGGAGGAAAUUGAAGCCCCAGGAAGUGAAGAGAGUUAGUUGCCAAAGGUCUGAAGGGUAGCAGAUGGAAAAGCUGAGACUUGAACCUGGGACCUGUCACUCCAAAUCCACUGAUGUUGCCACAACACUAUAGUUAGGUUCCACCUAACUUUUUAUGUUUAACCUAGCUUUUAUCUUUCCCUUUGUGAUAUUGGGUUCGGGGAUCCAGCAGACCCUGUUACUCAGGAUACCAUGCAGAAAUUUUGUACUAAUGGGAAACAAGGAUGGGACAUAGACAGACGUCAGUAGUAUGGGUAAAGGUAGCUUCCAAUUGCACCCUGAGUAUCAUGAAAUGAAACAAUGCCCUAGUGGGUUAUGGUCUUACUAGCCCUUCUAGCAUGCACGGCUUCAGCAAGAGUAAAGGGUUUGAAGUCAAAAAGUCAAGUCAAUGGGUAUAUAAUGGAUUUCUCCAUUGAAAUGGUAGAAUCACUAUAACAUAUGUAUUAUCCAGAUAUUUCCAGUUGUUUAGGGGAAGGAAAUGAUCUUCUGGACCCAUUCUAGUGGACGGCUAAAGACCAAAGAGUGGUCCCUGGCUUUAGGGAAGCACAGUGAACAAAUUCAUGACUGGGCCUCAAUUUACACUUCUGUUAGGAAGGAUUAGCAUUCUUUAGCCUAAGCAAGAUCUAGUUUACAGGUAUAAAUGCUUUUAAAAAUUCUCCCUGAAGUUGGAUAUUUGCUAUAAUAGUGUGGAAAAUCAAAUAUGUUAUCAUUUAUUCACAUAGGUAUUAAUGGCUUUAAUAAAGACAGGCCUUCUUAGUUAAAACA
ensembl:lncRNA